AAACAACUAAAAGUUGGCGAACUGGAUAAUCACACACCCACUCCUGUGAAAAGGAAGAGAUCAGUAAAAUCACAAGUUAAAAGCUCACAAUCUUCUGCAGGAGGUAAUAAGGGCAAGAAGGGGUCAGUUAUGUCUAAAGAAUUUGUCAAAAAAGAGUGUAUAACGAAAGAGACUGACCUUCCUGUCAUCAUAGGAUUAGAGUGUAACGGAUUGAGGGGCUUACAAGCCAGAAAAUCUCAUCACUUUCCUAGUGAGGAAUCUUUGAAGCUCUUGAGAGAUCAAAAGGAGCAAUUAAAUGAUUCAACAAGACACAAGAUCAAGGAAAUUAAUCGGUUAGAAGAAGGUGGAGAGAGCAA